AUGUCUUCCACCUCCGGCGCAUCCCAAACCAGCCUCAGUGGCCAAGUUACCGAGAAGCUAACCCGCACAAAUUACGUGCUAUGGCGCACGCAAGUCAUCCCUCAGCUGCGCGGCGCCGGUGUCUACGGCUACGUCGACGGCACCCAGCCGGAGCCGUCCAAACUCCUCGUCACCACCAAGGACGGCAAGGAGGUGUCAUCAACGCCCAACCCUCUCCACCCAAUCUGGGUCCGGGAGGAUCAGCAGAUUCUGGGAUACCUGCUGAACAACCUGACGCGUGAGGUGCUGCUCACGGUGACCACGGUC
rnacentral:rRNA from 1 species